GACGAACGCUGGCGGCGUGCUUUACACAUGCAAGUCGAGCGAUGAGAUCCCUUCGGGGAAGGAUUAGCGGCGAACGGGUGAGGAACACGUGAGGAAUCUGCCUUCAACACUGGGAUAACUCCGGGAAACCGGGGCUAAUACCGGAUACGAGGCCUGCAGGCAUCUGCGGGUCUGGAAAGUUUUUCGGUUGAAGAUGACCUCGCGGCCUAUCAGCUUGUUGGUGAGGUAAUGGCUCACCAAGGCGACGACGGGUAGCCGGCCUGAGAGGGCGACCGGCCACACUGGGACUGAGACACGGCCCAGACUCCUACGGGAGGCAGCAGUGGGGAAUAUUGGGCAAUGGAGGGAACUCUGACCCAGCGACGCCGCGUGCGGGAUGAAGGCCUUCGGGUUGUAAACCGCUUUCAGCAAGGAAGAAGCGAAAGUGACGGUACUUGCAGAAGAAGCACCGGCUAACUAUGUGCCAGCAGCCGCGGUAAUACAUAGGGUGCAAGCGUUGUCCGGAAUUAUUGGGCGUAAAGAGCUCGUAGGUGGUUCGUCACGUCGGAUGUGAAAAUCUGGGGCUUAACCCCAGACCUGCAUUCGAUACGGGCGAGCUAGAGUGUGGUAGGGGAGACUGGAAUUCCUGGUGUAGCGGUGGAAUGCGCAGAUAUCAGGAGGAACACCAAUGGCGAAGGCAGGUCUCUGGGCCAUUACUGACACUGAGGAGCGAAAGCGUGGGGAGCGAACAGGAUUAGAUACCCUGGUAGUCCACGCCGUAAACGGUGGGCACUAGUUGUGGGAACCUUCCACGGUUUCUGCGACGCAGCUAACGCAUUAAGUGCCCCGCCUGGGGAGUACGAUCGCAAGAUUAAAACUCAAAGGAAUUGACGGGGCCCCGCACAAGCAGCGGAGCAUGCGGCUUAAUUCGACGCAACGCGAAGAACCUUACCAAGGCUUGACAUAUACAGGAAUAGGCAGAAAU
rnacentral:rRNA from 1 species